CUUGUUUUAAAAGCACAUGGGAUAUAGUGCUGCUUUGUUUGGCUGUGUUUGAAUUUGCCCAAAUGGAGAUGCAGAUAAAUUGAGCAAUGCUGACUGUGUAUGUUGACAGCUGCUGGUGUAGAUGUGGAUAAAUGCUUGAACAUCAACUGAUUAGCUGCUAUCUGCCAAUGAAGAUUUAAGUCAAUUGCUGUUUCUCCCGUGUUUUUGUUUGGUCCCCCUCAGGCGUGUGCUGCAUGGUGGCAGCAAGUGUAUCGUGUGACUUGUUUGUGUACGAGUCCGGUUGGCCGGGGCUUUUUUUUUUUUUUAUUUUUGUUUUUUUUUUUUUCUUUCUUUUUAUUGAUGACACCUUCCCAGCCUUAUGCUGCUAACUUAACUCAUGGUGCUUGUCUUUUUGUGCAUCCCUUUGUGUAUGGAUUUAAUUUUGCUGUGUUUCUUUGUAGUUAUGAGUGAAGGGUUAUGUAUUGUGUUAUUUGAAUUGUGGUUAUUUCUUUUGAGUGUUUAAUGUAAGAGGGAUGUCCCCCCAUGCCUAAAGGUUUGCCACACGCAACGAAAGCAGUUAUCAUAGCGAGAGAUUUGAGCUGGCUGUUAACCUCUUUGAGAGCUGGGACCAAUUUUAGAUGAGCUACUUGUAUCAAUUAUUUUAUGUUUAGUGUUCUGUCGUUUAAUAGGUACAACAUUAACCUUUUAUAAAUGGACCACGCAACAGCCGGCCAUGACUUCUUACCAGAACUUUUAUUCCUCUCUUUAACAGUCCUGUAACACCCCCAAUAUAGGUUCCUAAGCAUACUAUAUGCCUCAUAACAUUACUGUAAGUAACAUACUACAUCCCCCUUUUUCUUUAACACAUGGGGGAGCAAAUAAACCAACAAUGACUAUACUUCAAGUUCUUAUUAGACAUUGAACAUGUAAAUAUAUAGCCAACAAUCAUCAUUUUCUUUUCACAUUCACUUUCACAAAAGAUUUUCUCUACUUAGAAGAAUGGGGUGGACUACCCAAAACCUUGAAUUGAGUGUGGUAUUAUUCUGCCCUAUUGACCAUUCGGUGCUUCUCUCUAAUUAAAAACGAAGUCCUUUAGAUACCCAGGAGGAGUUCUAAUCCGGGAAGAGUACCGACUGGUACAUGGAGAGGUCGGUGGGGAACCCAACCGCUGCUGUGGAUGAAUCUUCCAAGAGCGAAGAUGCCUGUAUCUCCACCGAGUCAGGCAGGUCAGAAGUCACAGGAGCUAUUAGAGUUGGUGAAAGAUGAAACCUGUUUUUCCUUAAGGUACCUCUGGGUGUCACUAUAAGGUAAGACCUGGGAGAGCCAGCGGUAGACACAACAGUGCUCUUUUCAGAAGUGUCUUUGACCCACACGUUACCCCGGGCGCAAGUACGUCAUGUAACGUGCUUUGUGUCUUUGAUUGAAACUUUGCUUCUGUUUCAGUCUGUAAGCCAGUUUUAUCUCUUAGCUUUUCCAAAUCUGCAAUCUCUGGAAUGUGCUGAGACAGAAUCACAGGAACUCGCCUUCGGAGCUUCCUUCCCAUUAGGAGCGCGGCAGGACUGUAACCAUUGGCGAGAGGCUAAGCCAUAAGUGCAAGUGUGGUGUACACGUGUUUACCCAAAUGGCACGAAUGUAUUCCGCAAGAGCAGCAACACACAGGUGGCCAGUAGUGGUUUUUUUACAAUAUGCUGGACCUGACGGCGGUGAAUGCCUACGUUUUGCACAAGGCAUGCACAGGGUGGACAGGCAAAAGAAGAUUGUUUGAGUUUUCUUCUGGCCUCUGAGCUACUCUGAGUAAAGAAAUGCAAAUGUGCCAGGCCUCACAGGUAAUGGGUGUGUUUGCACAACA